AAGAAGAAGAAGAAGAAGAAGAAGAAGAGCGAAAAAAAAAGGUGCUCCAGCAGGAGGAAGGAGAAGAAGAAAAAGAAAAAGAGAAGAAAAAAUUGCUCCGCUUGGCCUUCGCUUUUUUUUUUCGAACGAGAGAACGAAGUGGAGAGAGAAAGAGGAAAGAGAAAAAGUAAUAAAGGUAUUUUGGUCAGUUUGCUGAAAAAGCAGACCGAAUCUGCAAAAAUGAAAAAGGUGGCCCGAUUUUGCAAAAGCCCAAAAUAAGUGGAUUUUUUAUGCAAAUUGGCCAAUAUAAAUUGAUGGAGUUUAUUGAGCAUUAAGAUAUAAAUUGUACAAUAAAAAAUAAAAAAAAUUGAUGGAGUUUAAGUUAAUUUUAUAUUUGACGAAAGUUAAUUGCGAGAAUCUGCACACGUGGCGCGAGGGCGGAGGCGUGGGCGCGAGCGGGGGCGUGGGUGCGGGCGCGGGCCGCGCAAGGGCGC
rnacentral:lncRNA from 1 species